rnacentral:tRNA from 1 species
GGGUCGGUACCCGAGUGGCCAAAGGGAGCAGACUGUAACUCUGCUGCGGCAACGCUACGUUGGUUCGAAUCCAACCCGGCCCA